GUGAGUCCCCCACAUCCACAGCACAGCAUCAACCACCAGUGAGUCCCCCACAUCUACAUCCACAGGCACAGCAUCAACCACCAGUGAGUCCCCCACAUCUACAUCCACAGGCACAGCAUCAACCACCAGUGAGUCCCCCACAUCUACAUCCACAGUUGAUUCUACGACCACGACCAAACCCACCACGCCAACUACCACUUCAUCUUCCAGUUCUUUAACCACAAAGAUGAACACCAGUCAGUUUUUCAUGUAUUUAUUUCCUUACUUAUUUGUUCAUUCAUUCAUUCAUUUAGUAUGUGUGUGUUUUGCUGUUUGUUUGUUUGUUUGUUUGUUUGUUUGUUUGUUUGUUUGUUUGUUUGUUUGUUUGUUUGUUUGUUUGUUUGUUUGUUUGUUUGUUUGUUUCUUUGUUUGUUUCUUUGUUUGUUUGGGGAGGGGUAUUUUUUUAUUCAUUCAUUUUUUCUUUUUUUCAUUCAUUCACAUUUUAAUUUGUUCUUGCAUCAAAAUUAAAUAGAUCUUUUACAAUCAAUGUUGUGUUGCUUUAAAAAACUCCAGUCAUGACAUCUGUCUCUCUAUCACAGGUGACAUGACUGAGAAUGGAACCACUAAGGCAAGUCAAAUAUUCUCCUUCUUCUGUUCACUUAUCUAUGAGUGUUUUUCAUUCCUUCAAGCCUCUUCAUCACAUGCCUCUUAAUUCUCUCAAAUACAGAUAUACUGCCCCUCAUUCAACUGUAACUACUCUGACUGCUAUUCAAUGUACAUCAGUCAGAACACCACUCCGUGUGCUGUCGAUAAUUGUUGUCAGUUGUUAAGGCAAACAGACAUGUGGUAUACUGCCAGCUGCAGCAACUCUUGUGCUGACAGCUGCAAGAAUGCCUCCCAGACCAAC
ensembl:lncRNA